UGGGGAAUAUUGCACAAUGGGCGCAAGCCUGAUGCAGCCAUGCCGCGUGUAUGAAGAAGGCCUUCGGGUUGUAAAGUACUUUCAGUCGGGAGGAAGGUGGUAAGGUUAAUAACCUUGGCAAUUGACGUUACCGACAGAAGAAGCACCGGCUAACUCCGUGCCAGCAGCCGCGGUAAUACGGAGGGUGCAAGCGUUAAUCGGAAUUACUGGGCGUAAAGCGCACGCAGGCGGUUGAUUGAGUCAGAUGUGAAAUCCCCGGGCUUAACCCGGGAAUUGCAUCUGAUACUGGUCAGCUAGAGUCUUGUAGAGGGGGGUAGAUUUCCAUGUGUAGCGGUGAAAUGCGUAGAGAUGUGGAGGAAUACCGGUCGCGAAGGCGGCCCCCUGGACAAAGACUGACGCUCAGGUGCGAAAGCGUGGGGAGCAAACAGG
rnacentral:rRNA from 1 species